CUUUUGGCGUAGCAGGCCUCCCUUUGGGAGGCCCGCGCGACGCUCCCAAUUGGUUGGAUCGUAGGGGCGAUGAUUUA
rnacentral:tRNA from 1 species